rnacentral:rRNA from 1 species
GAUGAACGCUGGCGGCGUGCCUAAUACAUGCAAGUCGAGCGAACAGACGAGGAGCUUGCUCCUCUGACGUUAGCGGCGGACGGGUGAGUAACACGUGGAUAACCUACCUAUAAGACUGGGAUAACUUCGGGAAACCGGAGCUAAUACCGGAUAAUAUAUUGAACCGCAUGGUUCAAUAGUGAAAGACGGUUUUGCUGUCACUUAUAGAUGGAUCCGCGCCGCAUUAGCUAGUUGGUAAGGUAACGGCUUACCAAGGCAACGAUGCGUAGCCGACCUGAGAGGGUGAUCGGCCACACUAGAACUGGGACACGGUCCAGACUCCUACGGGAGGCAGCAGUAGGGAAUCUUCCGCAAUGGGCGAAAGCCUGACGGAACAACGCCGCGUGAGUGGUGAAGGUCUUCGGAUCGUAAAACUCUGUUAUUGGGGAAGAACAAAUGUGUAAGUAGCUAUGCACGUCUUGACGGUACCUAAUCAGAAAGCCACGGCUAACUACGUG